AUGGUCAGGCAGGCUCAGGGGCAGGCAGAAUGGUCAGGCAGGCUCAGUGUCGGGCAGGCAGAAUGGUCAGGCAGGCUCAGUGUCGGGCAGGCAGAAUGGUCAGGCAGGCUCAGUGUCGGGCAGGCAGAAUGGUCAGGCAGGCUCAGUGUCAGGGGCAGGCAGAAUGGUCAGGCAGGCGGGCUCAGGGGCAGGCAGAGUGGUCAGGCAGGCAGGCUCAGUGUCAGGGCAGGCAAAUGGUCAGGUAGGCAGGCUCGAGGUCAGGUAGGCAGGCAGAAUGGUCAGGCAGGCUCAGUGUCAGGGGCAGGCAGAAUGGUCAGGCAGGCUCAGUGUCAGGGGCAGGCAGAAUGGUCAGGCAGGCUCAGUGUCAGGGGUCAGGCAUGCUCGAGGUCAGGGGCAGGCAGAGUGGUCAGGCAGGCAGGCUCAGUGUCAGGGGCAGGCAGAAUGGUCAGGCAGGUGGGCUCAGUGGAAGGGGCAGGCAGAUUGGUCUGGCAGGCAGGGUCAGGGCAGGCAAAUGGUCAGGUAGGCAGGCUCGAGGUCAGGGGCAGGCAGAAUGGUCAGGCAGGCUCAGUGUCAGGGGCAGGCAGAAUGGUCUGGCAGGCUCAGUGUCAGGGGCAGGCAGAAUGGUCAGGCAGGCAGGCUCAGUGUCAGGGGCAGGCAGAAUGGUCAGGCAGGCAGGCUCAGUGUCAGGGGCAGGCAGAGUGGUCAGGCAGGCUCAGUGUCAGGGGCAGGCAGAGUAGGCAGGCAGGCUCAGUGUCAGGGGCAGGCAGAGUAGGCAGGCAGGCUCCGUGUCAGGGGCAGGCAAAUGGUCAGGUAGGCAGGCUCGAGGUCAGGGGCAGGCAGAAUGGUCAGGCAGGCAGAGUGGUCAGGCAGGCUCAGGGGCAGGCAGAGAGGUCAGGCAGGCUCAGUGUCAGGGGCAGGCAGAGUGGUCAGGCGGGCAGGCAGAGUGGUCAGGCAGGCUCAGUGUCAGGGGCAGGCAGAGUAGGCAGGCAGGCUCAGUGUCAGGGGCAGGCAGAGUAG
rnacentral:lncRNA from 8 species